GCACUGCUGAGAAGUCUGACAAUAGGACGAAACGGCCGUCCAGUAC
rfam:Schistosoma mattheei strain Denwood, Zambia genome assembly, scaffold: SMTD_scaffold0001672